ACCCCUGUUUUUGCUUAUUAUGAUUCUGAGGAAUUAAAUCUUUCAUCUGUUUUUGUCAGCUUAAUAUCUGGCACAUUGGGCAUUGCCUGGCACCAAUAUUUAUCUGAUUUUUGCUUCUCGAGUUAACACCGAAGCUUGCUUUGGUUGACUCAUGGAUUGUCCCGGUCUUACACAUCCAUAAUGAUAUGUCUGCUUCAA